rfam:Loxodonta africana unplaced genomic scaffold scaffold_12, whole genome shotgun sequence.
CCCUGGGUGGUGCAAACAGUUAACACAUUCAGCUGCUAACCAAAAGGUUGGUGGUUCGAAUCCACCCAGAGGUG